rnacentral:rRNA from 1 species
GGAAACAGAUGCUAAUACCGGAUAACAACACUAGACGCAUGUCUAGAGUUUAAAAGAUGGUUCUGCUAUCACUCUUGGGAUGGACCUGCGGUGCAUUAGCUAGUUGGGUAAAGGGCAACGGCUUACCAAGGCAAUGAUGCAUAGCCGAGUUUGAGAGACUGAUCGGCCACAUUGGGACUGGGACACGGGCCCAAACUCCUACGGGAGGCAGCAGUAGGGGAAUCUUCCACAAUGGACGCAAGUCUGAUGGAGCAAACGCCGCGUGAGUGAAGAAGGGUUUCGGCUCGUAAAGCUCUGUUGGUAGUGAAGAAAGAUAGAGGUAGUAACUGGCCUUUAUUUGACGGUAAUUACUUAGAAAAGUCACGGGCUAACUACGUGCCAGCAGCCGCGGGUAAAUA